rnacentral:rRNA from 1 species
AUGAACGCUGGCGGCGUGCCUAAUACAUGCAAGUCGAGCGAACAGACGAGGAGCUUGCUCCUCUGACGUUAGCGGCGGACGGGUGAGUAACACGUGGAUAACCUACCUAUAAGACUGGGAUAACUUCGGGAAACCGGAGCUAAUACCGGAUAAUAUAUUGAACCGCAUGGUUCAAUAGUGAAAGACGGUUUUGCUGUCACUUAUAGAUGGAUCCGCGCCGCAUUAGCUAGUUGGUAAGGUAACGGCUUACCAAGGCAACGAUGCGUGGCCGACCUGAGAGGGUGAUCGGCCACACUGGAACUGAGACACGGUCCAGACUCCUACGGGGGGCAGCAGUAGGGAAUCUUCCGCAAUGGGCGAAAGCCUGACGGAGCAACGCCGCGUGAGUGGUGAAGGUCUUCGGAUCGUAAAACUCUGUUAUUAGGGAAGAACAAAUGUGUAAGUAACUAUGCACGUCUUGACGGUACCUAAUCAGAAAGCCACGGCUAACUACGUG